rnacentral:rRNA from 1 species
UACGAGGGGGGCAAGCGUUGUUCGGAAUUACUGGGCGUAAAGGGCUCGUAGGCGGCCAACUAAGUCGGAUGUGAAAUCCCCAGGCUUAACCUGGGAACUGCAUCCGAUACUGGAUGGCUUGAAUUCGGGAGAGGGAUGCAGAGUUCCAGGUGUAGCGGUGAAAUGCGUAGAUAUCUGGAGGAAUACCGGUGGCGAAGGCGGCAUCCUGGACCGACAUUGACGCUGAGGAGCGAAAGCUAGGGGAGCAAACGGG